rnacentral:sRNA from 1 species
UAAUCCUGGGACACCUAGAUGUCGCCCA